rnacentral:rRNA from 1 species
AUCCCAGAGGGGUCAAAGGAGCAAUCCGGUGAAGGGUGGGCUCGCGUCCGAUUAGAUAGUUGGUGAGGUAACGGCCCACCAAGUCGACGAUCGGUAGCCGACCUGAGAGGGUGAUCGGCCACAUUGGGACUGAGACACGGCCCAAACUCCUACGGGAGGCAGCAGUGGGGAAUAUUGGGCAAUGGGGGAAACCCUGACCCAGCAACGCCGCGUGAGGGAAGAAGGUUUUCGGAUCGUAAACCUCUGUCCUUGGUGAAGAGUGAGAGACGGUAGCCAAGGAGGAAGCCCCGGCUAACUACGUGCCAGCAGCCGCGGUAAUACGUAGGGGGCGAGCGUUGUCCGGAAUGAUUGGGCGUAAAGGGCGCGUAGGCGGCCCGGUAAGUCUGAAGUGAAAGUCCUGCUUUCAAGGUGGGAAUUGCUUUGGAUACUGUCGGGCUUGAGUGCAGGAGAGGUAAGUGGAAUUCCCAGUGUAGCGGUGAAAUGCGUAGAGAUUGGGAGGAACACCAGUGGCGAAGGCGACUUACUGGACUGUAACUGACGCUGAGGCGCGAAAGUGUGGGGAGCAAACAGGAUUAGAUAC